CUGACUUCUGCUGGAGAACCAAGGUAGUAACUGAAGAAUUGUACUAGUUAACAAGACUCAGGUGGCGGGUGGCUCUGGAAUGUGCAAAGGGCCCUUGUUGUGUUUCAGAGACGAUGAGAUCUACAUAGUGAGCUUAUGGAUACUUCUUUUAAACUUUAGACCUUUAGUGUGGGUUCUGUAGAACUGUGAAACCAUUAUCUGUGUGCACUGUGGUUUGGAUGAUCUGUAGAACUGUGAAACCAUUAUCUAUGUGCACUGUUGUUUGAAUGGCUCGAGGUAACGGGCCUGCUGUCACUGUCAUAAUGCUUACUGCAAAUUAUGUUGAUACCCUGAGGAAUUAUCUCAGCUAAACGAGAUACUCGAUCGCAUCCAGAGCUUAUCAAUCUCGGACAGUCAGACCUCGGUUUAUGACAAGAUCAGACUUAAAGCCGACGAUCGGGAAAUUUACGUCCCACCCGCCACCCACCUAGUCGCCACAGUCGACGAUUUAACCGGCGUGUUAGACUACGCGGAGGCUACCGACAUGGAUGAAGAUGUCGACGGCCCUCCAGAAACCACUACGCCGUUGGUCAACACCGGCAAGUGGACCGCAACAUCUACUUAUGAUGUACAGGUGAAAAGUGUACAUCUAGAAAUUUUAAGACAAAUUAUGGAGUGGAGUAAAAAAAUGCAUUGGGAAAUUGCAAGCCACCAUCUCUCUCCUCUUUAAUUACCCAACCCCCAAUGAGCUAAGUGCAUAUAGCAAUUAAUAAGACUAUGUAUAGAAUGCUAUUGGUCUUGAUUACCGUGUGAGAAAAUACUUUAAAGUGCAUUGGGAAGAUAGAAGUAUACUCUUUUGUGGACAAAUUUUAAAUAUGAACUUACAUUCUUCAGCGGACAGAGGGAGUAUACAUGGUAGAUACUCCCAAGAACCCGUCAAGACGUCGGUGAAGGCACGAGAGAGAUACCAACCGGGACCCCGGUAGGCCCGACACCACUACCAACAACGGUGCGGUAGCUGAUGAGGCCGACAAUCUAGAGGAGGAUUUUCAAGCCUCCUCAGGGCAACAACACAGUCCCGCAGGAAUCCCCGAGGACGAAGGAUUACCUCUUUGAAGGGGCUGACGACAAUUACUUACCUUUGUCCGAGGAGGACGAGAGUAGGGUUUCGGUGACCGCCUCCAGGGGUUGCCAUUUGUAAGGGUUCGGUGACCGUGCUCAAGGGUCCCUUAGUGGAAUAACGACAUCUUGCAUUGUGCGAGGGCGUGAGGAGAUUACGGUGGCCCUAGUGGCAUUUUGGGGAGCAUUGUGCCUCCACACAGCAAAAAACGAAGAUUAGCAUCCGCAAGGGUGUGAACUUCGGGAUACAUCGUCGUCUCUGUGUGCCUCGAUUAUCUCUUACCCGAGCCAUUACUUAUGCACUUUACUUUGUGAUAGCCAUAGUGUUUCAUGUUAUAUAUCUUGCUAUCACUUAGUUGUUUAUAUUGCUUAUCAUAAGUUGUUCAUGCACAUAGGUGAACCUAGUUGUAUUAGGUCAUGUGCUUGACAAAUUAAAUGCUAGUUUAUUCUGCAUUUGUUAAACUCUAAACCGUAAUUAUUUUAUUCACAACCCCCCUCUAGGGGACAUCCACGAUCUUUCAGCCACCCGAUGUUCCUCUUGUACGUGCAGAUACCAUUAGAGGUGGUACAUUUGUGCUGCUUCAGCAAAUUUGUUCGAGGGAUCAGACUACUGAGUUAACUGAGGGAGAUCAGCGACGAGGAGGAGAGAACUCCGACGAUGCGCUACUGUGACGCCCCCGAUUCAACCGUACACUAAUUAUACACGUAAAUGUGUAUGAUCAAGAUUAGGGACUCACGGGAAGAUAUCACAACACAACUCUAGACACAAAAAAAGAAAUAAAACAAGCUUCAUAUUACAAGCCAGGGGCCUCGAAGGCUCGAAUACAAGCUCGAUACACAAGAGUCAGCGGAAGCAACAAAUAUCUGAGUACAGACAUAAGUUAAACAAGGAUGCCUUAAAAGGCAAACACAAAAACAACAACGAUCGAAGAGGCAAGGCCUCCUGCCUGGGACCUCCUAACUACUCCUGAUCUUCGGUGGCCUCCAUGUAGUAGUAUCCGUUGGUGGUGGCAUCUGGCUCCUGGGAUCCACCAUCUGGUUGCAACAACCGGAAAGAAGAAAGAAGGGGGGGGGGAAGGGAUAGCAAAGCAACCGUGAGUACUCAUCCAAAGUACUCGCAAGCAUCAGAUCUAUACUAAGUAUGCAUUGGUAUCAAACGGAAGGACUGUAUCAGUGGACUGAACUGCAGAAUGACAGAAUAGAGGGGAAGGCCUAGCCUAUCAAAGACUAGCAUCUUCAAGCAGCUCCAAGCAUCUUGCAGCAUGUAGAAGAGUAAAGAAUAGCAGUUUAUAUUUAACAAACAUGUUGUAGCAUUAAUGGCCAGAGAUCCUUCCUCGACUCCCUGCGAGAAAGCAAUCCCGGGGCCACAUAUCUCAAGUAUCCAUUUCUAGUUGUAAAAGAUUAGGAUAUAAGUCUGAACGUCCAUUACUGUGGACACGGCUAUUAAUAGAUAAUCUUCCCUGCAGGGGUGCACCAUGUUUUCCAACAGGCUUGAUUACUCUGGCCGGAUACACUUUUCUGGGUCAAUGCCCGGCCUCGGAAGAUCAACAUGUCGUAGCCCUACCUAAGCUCAGCAGAGAGGUCCCCGUCGGUCUACAUCCUAAGCACUCUGGGGUCUGGGCCCAUCGCCCGUUGCGCUCCGGGUCGUCGCGCGCAGGGCGAUCCAGGCCACCUCCAUUGGGGCGCCGACCAGGCCGUGCCACAAUGCUGAACUGGACGUCUGACAAAGCUUCGGUUGAUACUACGUCGUCGAGGCCCAUAACUAUUCUCGCGUGGUGGUUAGUGCGUAAAGGACAAAGGCCAACUCAGAACAAAUACCCAAACCAUAGUGUAUUAUUAGCUUACGGAGACGAGCAGAGACUCACGAUCGAUGUGACCUCGUCGCCCUGUCUCGGGGACUUACGGCAAGGGCCCAGAAUGCCCGAUCGUGCCACAUAAUGUAACGCCCUGAGACCGAUGUGCCAGGUGUCCUCCAGUUAUUCGCUGUUGUUGCCUUGUCAUGUGCUUGCGUGUCAUGCAUUGCAUACCAUCUCAUCAUGUGCAUUGCAUACCAUCUCAUCAUGUGCAUUGCAUCAUCAUGUUUUCAAAACCUGCAUUCAUCCGGGUUCCCCCGUUCCUUCCGUUGUCCGUUUUGAGUCCAACCACACUUACCCGAGCCCGCGGCACGUCCAAAAUAUUAUUUUAUAAGUGGCCGGAAAAUGUUCUCGGAAUGGGAUGAAAGUUGGCGUGCGGUGUUUUUAUGUUGUAGGUAGGCCGCCUGUCAAUUUUCGUCGCAUUCGGAGUUCGUUUGACGCCCCAACGGAUAACUAUAGCGGCAAUAUAGUCGGUCUAACGUCGGACGUUUUCGGUCUCCGAAAACAAUCGUCGGGCCUCACUCUCUUCUCUUCUCUCAGCUCGAUACCGUCUACACAGCCCACUACCUACCGCCAGGUCCAACCUAACUUCUCUCGUUAGCUCGCGGCCCUCCUCGCGCGCGCGUCCGAUAGUUGUCCCGAACCCGACUCGGACUUUCGUCACCGUUGGAUUCGGUUCAUCCCCAAACAUCCUUAAAACAUCUCCCUUUUCUUAUUUGGACUCCCUAUCUAUCUAUUUCUCGACCGUCCGAUUAUGAUCGUAAGGACGAGAUAUCCCUAACUUAAUCCCACUGCUAUAUAUAUAAACCAUCCUACCAUAACCUAACCCUAGACCAACUCCCUCAUUUUCCUCACCCCGCCGCCACUCUCCCCAUCGGGAUCCAAAACCGGCCAACCACCUCCCUCCUCUUUCAGCCACCUUCCAAAUCCAUCGAGCCAUCCAGCCAUGCGUCUUGCUCCUCCUCGAUCCCCUCGCGCCCAUGGAGCCCGAGCCCCUCAAGCAAAAACCGACCUCGACCUGGCCGACCGGAGCACCAGGUCAUGCUGCAGCUCCCCGUCGCCUCCCUCUCCUCCCUUUCCCCCUCCCUAUUUCCCUCUCUCAGCUCUCUCCCUUAUCUUAUUCACAGGAACAGGGGACGCCAUGAAAGAAACUACCUACUCCUUGUUGACCGCCUCGUCCCGGAGUAGCUCGCCGGCAUUCUUCGUUGUCCUGGAGCGUCCGCCACAAAGACCGGCCGGAUCCAUGCGCUGCCUCGACUCCAACCUGUCGAAGUCGCUUCGCCGUUGGGCGAACCCUCUGCCUCGUAUUCUGCGGCGUCGAGCACCAGCAGCUCGAUCGUUCACAUUGACCGAGCCACGCGCCUGGGUCAGCGCCGCCGACAUGAGCCCUGCAGGUCGCCGUGUGCCCUUGAUUCUCCCUUCUCGUUUCUCCUGUACUUCCCUAGCUCUCUCUCACACUAUCUGUCUCUCUCUGUGUCCCUUUCUUCACAGCACGUCGCCAUGGCCGACCCUGCCAAGCUCCAGCCCGCCGGCCACCAUCUCCUGUCAUACCCGCCUGGUCCCGGACGUCUUCGUCGACCGCCGGCCAUCCCUGCUCGCCUUGCGCGUCGCUGCCGUCGCCUUCGUGCCGCAACCCAAACGCUGUUCCGCGCCGCGCUGGCUCCUUCUGUCGGGAGCAGACAGAGGAAGCCGCCCCUGCCCGUUGACUUCCCACGCCCGCGUGUGCGCAAGGGCCUCAAGGCUAGGGGCGCCCAGCUCCUUCCGCUCACCCAGCCAACCAAGGGCCAGCAUCGCCAUGGUCGCCGGCCUCUAUUUUUCCCGCUGUGAGCAACUUCCUCCAUUACUGUAGCUUCGUUCUUUUCCUAGAUCCGUUCUGGCAUGUAGAGGUUAUUUAGAGUUGCCACUAAGUUUUACCACAAGCAUAUCAACUAGCCCAGUGGCUAGCGCAACAUCUAUCCAUCCCAGGGGUCCAGGGUUUGUGUCCUGGCCGGCCCCAUUUUUUGCUAGGUUUUCCUAUUAUUUUGCACUCCCACUGUUGGGCCAACCAGAUCCGGCCCGAGAUGUAUUUUUUUUCCGCAGAAGGUUUUAGCUAUUUUCCUGAGUACUACCCGUUUUGCAGAAUAGUCCCUAGAGUUCAUGCAUUUAAUAACUCACAAAUGGUGCAUCGGUUUAAAACAAUUUAAAUAUGUAAAAUGCUUAGAAUUUAAUAUAGUUUCAUAAUAUGUCAUUUUCACCCAUGUUUAAAAUGUUUAAAAUGUUGUUUGUGUAACUUUGUCCAUAUGCCAUGCUAAAAUGGUUUAAUUCAUAACUAAAUAACCGUAACUCGGAAUUUAAUAAUCUUUAUAUGUAAAUGGGGUAGAAUUUUGCAUAGUUUAACAUGGUGGCAUCACUUUGCAUGUUCAACAACUAUAAAAUAUGGUUUAGGGCAGAACAGUACCGAACCUAAUAUAUGCAUAUGGGGAUUACCGGAAUUGUUGUUCAUUGCUUCCGGCCUCAUUUAACCUUGACUAGAUAGGUAGUUUUGCUUUGCUUCACCCUCUUGCCAUGUUUAACAACAUUUAAUAUUGUUGGGUACAUAACCAAGAUCGAACUUAAUAAGUCAUGUGGUGUUUCGUCAAUAUGCAUUGCAUAUUGAGCUCCACUUAAUUUGUAGUAUUGCUUGUGCACUUUGCCAUGCCAUGCUUCAUUAAGCCGGACAUGCAUCAUACUUGAUUGUGCAUCAUGCCAUGUUUAUGUGGUGGUUGUUUUACUAUGAUUGUUUGCUUCUUUCCGGUGUUUGCUUCUUCGGGUUGGUUUCGGUAACGUCGCGUUUGUGAGGACCCGUUUGUCUACGUCCGUUUGUCUUCUUCAUGGACUCGUUCUUCUUCCUUGCGGGAUUUCAGGCAAGAUAAUCAUACCCUCGAAAUCACUUCUAUCUUUGCUUGCUAGAUGCUCGCUCUUUUCCUAUGCUGCGAUACCUACCACUUUCUUAUCAUGCCUCCUAUAUUGUUGAACCAAGCCUCUAACCCACCUUGUCCUAGCAAACCGUUGAUUGGCUAUGUUACCGCUUUGCUCAGCCCCUCUUAUAGCGUUGUUAGUUGCAGGUGAAGAUUGAAGUUUGUUCCUUGUUGGAACAUGGAGAUGUUGUUCCUUGUUGGAACAUGGUUACUUGUUGGGAUAUCAUGAUAUAUCUUAUUUAAUUAAUGCAUCUAUAUACUUGGUAAAGGGUGGAAGGCUCGGCCUUAUGCCUGGUGUUUUGUUCCACUCUUGCCGCCCUAGUUUUCCGUCAUAUCGGUGUUAUGUCCCCAGAUUUUGCGUUCCUUACGCGGUUGGGUAAUAAUGGGAACCCCUUGACAGUUCGCCUUGAAUAAAACUCCUCCAGCAAGGCCCAACCUUGGUUUUACCAUUUGCCACCUAGCCUUUUCUUUCCCUUGGGUUAGGCCAGCCCAAGGGUCAUCUUUAUUUUAACCCCCCGGGCCAGUGCUCCUCUGAGUGUUGGUCCAACUGAGCGAUGUCCGGAGCUACCAGGGGCAACUCUGGGCUGGCCCACCUGGCGUCUUGCUCAUCCGGUGUGCCUUGAGAACGAGAUAUGUGCAGCUCCUAUCAGGAUUUGUCUGCACAUCUGGGUGGCUUUGCUGGACUUGUUUUACCAUUGUCGAGGAUGUCUUGUAGAACCGGGAUACCGAGUCUGAUCGGAAUGUCUCGGGAGGAGGAAUAUCCUUUGUUGACCGUGAGAGCUUGUGGUGGGCUAAGUUGGGACACCCCUGCAGGGAUUUGAACUUUCGGAAGCCGUGCCCGCGGUUAUGGGCAGAUGGGAAUUUGUUAACGUCCGGUUGUAGAAAACCUGAAGUUGACCUUAAUUAAAAUGUAUCAACCAUGUGUGUAACCGUGAUGGUCUCUUUCCGGCGGAGUCCGGGAAGUGAACAUGGUGUUGGAGUUAUGCUUGAUGUAGGUUGUUUUAGGAUCACUUCUUGAUCAUACUUUUAUCGAACGUGCUUUGCCUUCUCUCCUCGCUCUCAUUUGCGUAUGUCAGCCACCAUAUAUGCUAGUCUCUUGCCGCAGCUCCACCUCAUACUUUUACCUUACCCAUAAGCUUAAAUAGUCUUGAUCGCGAGGGUGCGAGAUUGCUGAGUCCCCGUGGCUCACAGAUACUUCCAAAACCAGCUUGCAGGUGUCGUUGAACCAUGCAAAUGAUGCAACCAAGCUCAAGGAGGAGCUCGAUGCAGAUCUUGUCCUUUGUGUUGUCCCAUUUCCAGUUGAUCAGUAGUUCUGCCCAGUUGGGGUGAUCGGGACCGUGUCGCAUGUUGGGUUAUCUUUUAUUUUGGCGUCGUAGUCGGGCCAUGAGUGUUUGAAUGAUGUAAUGUUAUUUAUGUACUUGAUUGACGUGGCGAGUGUAAGCCAACUAUGUUAUCUCCCCUUUUAUUAUCUAUAUAUUACAUGGGAUGUUGUGAAGAUUGCCUAACUUGCGACAUAUGCCUUUAAUGCGAUUAUGUCUCUAAGUCGUGCCUCGACACGUGGGAGCUAUAGUCGCAUCGAGGGUGUUACAAGUUGGUAUCAGAGCCAGGUUGAUCCUGGGACCUGUGGGUUAUGGGCCCACUCAAAGAAACACCGUUGAACGAUUCAAAAGAGAGAAAGCACCGGUUGAAUUAAAUGACUUGAAUGAGGGAACAUCCACGAAAUAGGUUGAACGGAUCUUGGAUGACAAGGCGAGCCUUCUGAGAUAUCUUCAGGGCACGGGAACAAAUGAAUAUCAAGAAAUGAAUUAUUAAGAGGUGCACCGGCAUGAGAAAAGCAUUUGAAAUACAGAGAAGAAUAUUUUCGACACCGAGAGCUUGAAUAGAAUCCACCGGAGAAGAAAACGAGUGAAAAGUGACGAACUUGAAGCUCCGUUAGAAUCUUCAUGGGAAUCACCAGAUAAGGACAUUGAAGGAAAAAAAUGAAGAGACUUCACAUCAAUAAGAUGGAUACUCGAUUAAGAAGUCUGAGUCCUUAAAGAAAAACAAGGGAGGGAGGGCGGGAAAAACAAAGACAAUUUGGAAUGGAUGAAACGAACACCGUUGAGAAGAAGUGAUAAUUGGUCUUGCGAAUGUUGAAGUGAACGGAUCCACUUGAGGAGAAGCACACCGGUUGAGAAGAGGACUGACAUGACAAUCUCGAUUAUCAAGAAGGAUUAGUAUUCGCAUCGGAGUAUGAGAACACCAUUUGGGGAAGGUAUGGAAUCAAACACUUGACAUCGAAGCAACUCGAAUAUCACAACUCAAAACAAAACAAAGGAUUGACUUGCAAAAUAAGCCGGAACAAACAUAUGAUAGAGAUUUCGUCCGAAGUUUCCGUGGUGGGGCCUACACGGGCUCGAUCGUACAGCACCAUCAUGUACAAGGCAGUGCACAUGACAUACGAAGCGUCCCCGAGUUGGCAUAGCCAAGGACUCUUUAAGACACAACGAGACCACUGUAAAACCGACCGUGAAUAGGCAGACCACUAGACGUCGAACCCCAAUUUCGUAUCAUACAUCUGUCGGAAAGAUAUACUAAGAGCUACUUGAAUUCCCACCUAUGAACUCCCGAAAUUUUCCGGUUAUGCAAUCAGGUGUUGGGGAUACAGGGGAAGCAUAAUAUCUCACCCAAACUAACAAAUCCUACAUCCAGCUGUAUCCAUCCUUCAACACAUAACCAAGAAACCUUCGGAAAUCAUCUACCUCAACCUUCGAAAAGCAUCCGUUAUACAGGUUAUGGCGAUACUCCCGAACUCCCGCCCCAGUACUGGGUGGCGUCGAGGUUAUCUCACCAACGAACUGCAUAAAAGAGAUUUUCGAUGUCGGCGUACUAGACUCAGGUAUUUCAGAACUACAACGAUAAAAUUAUGACGACAACACCUCAGAGCUCAACUCCCCGGGACACUUCCACAAAACCCCUGACAGGAGGCACCAAGACAAUGUUCUCGUCAUAAAACCAUCGGAACGAUUCCAAGAUACCCGCGUGAUCCUAAAUUUUUUUUAGUGAAAUUUGAGAAGAGAAGAGUCAAAACUCUACGUCAGGAUGUCUUACCAGAGCGAUGAGGAGACUGAGAAGUAAAAAGAAUUCCUAAACUCUCCUAUAUAUAAUUCCUAAAUGACUCAAAACAUUUUUCUAGACACAACUCGGCUGCUAAAAACGAUCAAGCAAUGGGGCUCCUAAGGUCGGGGAAGGCUUUGAUACCAACUUGUAAUGCCCUCGAUGCGGCUAUAUCUCCCACGUGUCGAAGCACGACUUAGAGGCAUAACCGCAUUGAAAGCAAUGUCACAAGUGAGGUAAUCUUCACACAACCCAUGUAACACAUAAGGGAAAGAGAUACAUAGUUGGCUUACACUCGCCACUUCACACAAUUACAUGAAUAAAGCAUUACAACAUCCAAAUACAAUCAAGGUCCGACUACGGAACCAAAAUAAAAGAAGAACCCCAACUGCGACAUGGUCCCCGAUCGACCCCAACUGGGCUCCAGUACUGAUCAACUAGAACGGAACAACACAAAGCGACAAGAUCUUCAUCGAGCUCCUCCUUGAGCUUGGUUGCGUCAUCUUCACGGACUCAUCGACACCUGCAAGCUGGUUUUGGAAGUAUCUGUGAGCCAUGGGGACUCAGCAAUCUCACACCCUCGCGAUCAAGACUAUUUAAGCUUAUGGGUAAGGUAAAGGUAUGAGGUGGAGCUGCAGCAAGCGACUAGCAUAUAUGGUGGCUAACAUACGCAAAUGAGAGCGAGAAGAGAAGGCAAAGCACGAUCGAUAAAAGUAUGAUCAAGAAGUGAUCCUAAAACAACCUACGUCAAGCAUAACUCCAACACCGUGUUCACUUCCCGGACCCUACCGGAAAGAGACCAUCACGGUUACACACGCAGUUGACUCAUUUUACUUAAGUUAAGGUUCAAGUUAUCUACAACCGGACAUUAACAAAUUCCCAUCUGCCCAUAACCGCGGGCACGGCUUUCGAAAGUUCAAUCCCUGCAGGGGUGUCCCAACUUAGCCCAUCACAAGCUCUCACGGUCAACGAAGGAAAUAGACCUCCUCCCGAGACAUUCCGAUCAGACUCGGUAUCCCGGUUCUACAAGACAUUUCGACAGGGUAAAACUAAACCAGCAACACCACCCAGAUGUGCCGACAAAUCCCGAUAGGAGCUGCACAUAUCUCGUUCUCAGGGCACACCGGAUGAGCAAGACGUCGGGUAAGCCAGCCCAGAGUUGCCCCUGUUAGCCUCGGACAUCGCUCAGUUGGACCAACACUCAGAGGAGCACUGGCCCGGGGGGGUAAAAUAAUGAUGACCCUCAGGAGCGCGACUCCCAAGGGAAAAGAAAGGCUAGGUGGCAAAUGGUAAAACCAAUGUUGGGCAUUGCUGGAAGAGCUUUACUUAAGGCGAACUAUCAAGGGGUUCCCAUUAUUACCCAACCGCGUAAGGAACGCAAAAUCCGGGAACAUAACACCGAUAUGAUGGAAACUAGGGCGGCAAGAGUGGAACAAAACACCAGGCAUAAGGCCGAGCCUUCCACCCUUUACCAAGUAUAUAGAUGCAUUAAUUAAAUAAGAUAUAUUGUGAUAUCCCAACAAGUAAACAUGUUCCAAUAAGGAACAACAUCUCCAUGUUCCAAACAGGAACAAACUUCAAUCUUCACCUGCAACUAACAACGCUAUAAGAGGGGCUGAGCAAAGUUGUAACAUAGCCAAACAACGGUUUGCUAGGACAAGGUGGGUUAGAGGCUUGGUUCAACAAUAUGGGAGGCAUGAUAAGCAAGUGGUAGGUAUCACAGCAUAGGCAUAGCAAAAGAGCGAGCAUCUAGCAAGCAAAGAUAGAAGUGAUUUCAAGGGUAUGGUCAUCUUGCCUGAAAUCCCGCAAGGAAGAAGAACGAGUCCAUGAAGAAGACAAACGGACGUAGUCGAACGGGUCCUCACAAAUACGACGUUACCAGAACCAACCCGAAGAAGCAAACACCAGAAACAAGCACACAACAUAGUAAACAAACCACACAUGAACAUGGUAUGAUAUGCGGGAUGCGGGAUGCGAUGCAUAUGCAUGAUUUGCAAAGGAAUGCAUGAACCUGGCCUCAACAUGGAAAUCCAAGUGUGCCACUGGAAAGAUAAGAUGAAAUCGCUUGAAAACAAUAUAAAGAACACCGGAAUCGGAGUUACGGUUUGGAAAUGGCAAGCAAUUCAAAUAUGACACCGGUCUACGAUUUACAACAAGUAGCCAACUAAAUGCAACAAGAUGAACAUGCUACAGCACUCAAACAUGAAAAAAAAA
rnacentral:lncRNA from 1 species